UAUUAAAAUUAUUAUCCACUUGUAUUGUUAAAAACUAGCGUGGCUGACAGAAUAACUACAUAGUGACACAUGACGUGCCAUGUGUAUCUCGUACCGAUGAAUGGAGACUGAUUUUUAAUAGUAGAAUCAGAUGAAAUUUUUUCCA
rnacentral:pre_miRNA from 1 species